UCGAGAAUCAUUCGCAAUGGGCGAAAGCCUGACGAUGCGACGCCGUGUGAGCGAUGAAGGCCUUAGGGUUGUAAAGCUCUUUCGCCUGGGAACAAGAGAAGUUGGCUAAUAUCCAACCUAUUUGAGGGUACCAGGUAAAGAAGCACCGGCUAACUCCGUGCCAGCAGCUGCGGUAAUACGGAGGGUGCAAGCAUUAAUCGGAUUUAUUGGGCGUAAAGGGCGCGUAGGCGGCGUGAAAAGUCAGAUGUGAAAUCCCGGGGCUCAACCCCGGAACAGCAUUUGAAACUCUCACACUAGAGGGUAGGCGGAGAAAACGGAAUUCCACAAGUAGCGGUGAAAUGCGUAGAUAUGUGGAAGAACACCGGUGGCGAAGGCGGUUUUCUAGCUUACUCCUGACGCUGAGGCGCGAAAGCAAGGGGAUCAAACA
rnacentral:rRNA from 1 species